rnacentral:rRNA from 1 species
UACGUAGGUGGCGAGCGUUGUCCGGAUUUACUGGGCGUAAAGAGCGCGCAGGCGGUCGUUCAAGUCGCGUGUGAAAGCCCCCGGCUCAACUGGGGAGGGUCACGCGAUACUGAUCGACUCGAAGGCAGGAGAGGGUAGUGGAAUUCCCGGUGUAGUGGUGAAAUGCGUAGAUAUCGGGAGGAACACCAGUGGCGGAAGGCGAACUACCUGGCCUGUUUCUUGACGCUGAGGCGCGAAAGCUAGGGGAGCAAACGGGG